UACGGGGGGAGCAAGCGUUGUUCGGAUUUACUGGGCGUAAAGGGCGCGUAGGCGGUCGUGACAAGUCACUUGUGAAAUCUCCGGGCUUAACUCGGAACGGUCAAGUGAUACUGUCGGACUAGAGUACAGAAGGGGCAACUGGAAUUCUCGGUGUAGCGGUGAAAUGCGUAGAUAUCAAGAGGAACACCUGCGGCGAAGGCGGGUUGCUGGGCCGACACUGACGCUGAAGCGCGAAAGCCAGGGGAGCGAACGGG
rnacentral:rRNA from 1 species